rnacentral:rRNA from 1 species
UACGUAGGGGGCAAGCGUUGUCCGGAAUCAUUGGGCGUAAAGCGCGUGUAGGCGGCCCGGUAAGUCCGCUGUAAAAGUCCAGGGCUCAACCCUGGAAAGCCGGUGGAUACUGUCGGGCUCGAGUCCGGGAGAGGUGAGUGGAAUUCCCAGUGUAGCGGUGAAAUGCGUAGAUAUUGGGAGGAACACCAGUGGCGAAGGCGGCUCACUGGACCGGUUCUGACGCUGAGGCGCGAAAGCGUGGGGAGCAAACGGG